rnacentral:rRNA from 1 species
AUUGAACGCUGGCGGCAGGCCUAACACAUGCAAGUCGAACGAGUGGCGGACGGGUGAGUAAUGUCUGGGAAACUGCCUGAUGGAGGGGGAUAACUACUGGAAACGGUAGCUAAUACCGCAUACCAUCGGAUGUGCCCAGAUGGGAUUAGCUAGUAGGUGGGGUAAAGGCUCACCUAGGCGACGAUCCCUAGCUGGUCUGCGAGGAUGACCGGCCACACGGGAACUGGGACACGGUCCAGACUCCUACGGGAGGCAGCAGUGGGGAAUAUGGCACAAUGGGGGCAAGCCUGAUGCAGCCAGGCCGAGUGUAUGAAGAAGGCCUGCGGGUUGUAAAGUACUUUCAGCGGGGAGGCGUUACCCGAAGAAGAAGCACCGGCUAACUCCGUGCCAGCAGCCGCGGUAAUAC